GGGGAUUUAGCUCAGUGGUAGAGCGCUUGCCUAGGAAGCGCAAGGCCCUGGGUUCGGUUCCCAGCCCCG
rnacentral:tRNA from 1 species